GGACAGGGGCUGUAGAGGGAGAAACAGAGGAAGUAGAGGGGGAACAGAAGCUGUAGAGUUAAAUAGAGGGUAAGUAGAGGGGGGCUGGGGCAGUAUGGUGGGGGCCAGGUACUAUAGAGGGGGCACAGGGGCAGUAGAGGGGGGCAGGGGCUGUAGAGGGAAAUAGAGGGUCUGUAUGCACAGGGGCAGUAUGAUGGAGGCAGAGGCUGUAGGGGGAAUAAAGGGGCAGUAGAAGGGGUUAAUAUGGUGGGGCAGGGACUAUAGCGUGAAAUAGAGGGGCUGUAAAAGGGGCAGUAUUGUGGGGGGCAGUGGCUGUAGAGUGGCACAUAGAGUAGAGCAGUAGAGAGGGGCUGCUAAAAUAAAAAAAACAAAAACAAAAAACCAUGUUAAAAGUUCUUCUCCCUCCCACAUGCUUACCUUGGGCCAGGGAGGGGAGAACC